AACGAACGCUGGCGGCAUGCCUAACACAUGCAAGUCGAACGAGACCUUCGGGUCUAGUGGCGCACGGGUGCGUAACGCGUGGGAACCUGCCCUUAGGUUCGGAAUAACUCUCCGAAAGGGGUGCUAAUACCGGAUAAUGUCUUCGGACCAAAGAUUUAUCGCCUUUGGCUGGGCCCGCGUUGGAUUAGCUAGUUGGUAGGGUAAAAGCCUACCAAGGCGACGAUCCAUAGCUGGUCUGAGAGGAUGAUCAGCCACACUGGGACUGAGACACGGCCCAGACUCCUACGGGAGGCAGCAGUGGGGAAUAUUGGACAAUGGGCGAAAGCCUGAUCCAGCAAUGCCGCGUGAGUGAUGAAGGCCUUAGGGUUGUAAAGCUCUUUUACCCGGGAUGAUAAUGACAGUAACGGGAGAAUAAGCUCCGGCUAACUCCGUG
rnacentral:rRNA from 1 species